GCAUAUACCGUAAAAGCUUUUUUAAUGCUAGCACGAAUGCUCCGCUCCACUCAAGUUUUAUUGGUAACACAAAAUAGCAAAUUUAAAAAAAAAAAAAAAACAACAAAGCAAUAGUACUUUUACGAUUUUUCAAAUGGCGAAGUAAACAAAGGGUAUUAUGACCAAUCAAUCAGCAUAAGCAGCAAUUUUGUCCAUUAUCUCUGCAACAAUCUCUUUAGACUCCCUCAGCAACUUGAUGCUUCCAUUCAAUCUGUAACGUUUACCAGCAAUAGGUGGAGAUUCCUCCAGCAUCCGUUCCAAUGCACCCCGUGAGUUCCCAUUAACUCAUUCACCAUUUCGGUUUCCAUGUCUUUGUUCACCAGAUUUUGGAUGCUGAAGAGUAAAUGCAAAGCCAUGCUAUCAACCAACCUCCUCAGGACAAUCUUCCAAUAAGCAGUCAUCCUCAUUUUCAGAUCAAAAGCUUCUUGUGCAACGACCAGAUGAUUUCUCAGAUGCCCGACUUCAACCUCACCAAUUCCAUUAAUCUCUAGAGUUGUUGAUUUCGUACAAUCAUUACAACGAUCAUUGAUAAUGUCCAUGAACCUGUCCUGGCUUUCCAUCAGAUCAUGCCAGGUUGCAGAGUACUCAGGAUUACAAGUAUAAUCGGUGAGUUUCUCCAUUUCGAUGAUCUGCGAUACCCAAUCAGCUGACUGCUCCCUUUUUUUGGAAACAAGAUUUUGGGCUGCUCUUCUGAUUGAAGGUUGAAGUUGUGGGUAGUUGUCAGAGUGCUUCAUCAAGACAGGAACUAACACCCCUUGUAAAUACUCCCAAAACUUGUUCACAAUCCAGCGGGUGUAGCGGAAAUGGCCAUGACCAUUUUUUGUAGUGAAGUGCGAAAUGCUUUGCGAGGAAGGAAAUUAGGUAAGCUUAUACCUUUUGCUCCUCCAGGAUGCUAAUCUCUUCCUCCAAGAAGGCCUGCUUUUGUUCAACUUUGAUAGAGAUUAACUGCAAAUCCUCAUAGUAAUCGCUCAGCAUCUCUGCCAGUCUAGCAGUACAAUGCAUUUCCUUUUCAUCUGGAUACUCAUCGAAUUCCCCUCUGAUAAAUAUUUUCCUCAGGGACUCUUUGGCUGAAGAAAUGAUGCGCAUAAAAGCAGUGACUGCUUCAGGAACCGAUUUCAACUGUUGUGGCAACUUGUUCAGCUCUGCAACACUUGUACUUAGCUUGUCAUUGAUCUUUCUCACAAUAUCUGGCAAGCAUUUUGAAAUUAUAGUUGCCUGAAUUUGCACCAGUUUCUGGGCUAAAACAGGAAUGCCAACCAUAGACUUGUGGAUCUUGGACAGCAACGGAUGUGUUUCGAAAAGCGUAGCUUCUACAGCUUGAGCUUCCUCGUAUGAUUCAUCACCAAUUCGAUUUCUCACACAGACGUAUCCAAGUCCAAUAUUCACAUCAUCAGCCAUUACCUUCUCGAGCAAGCCUUCAGGGGAUUUGUCUGCCUUGGUGACAACUGCCAGAGUUCUUUCGCCCAUUUUGUCGAAUUUUUGGGACAUCCGAAUUGAUUCACAAGUUGAAAAAUCAACAGUAGCUGAUAAAACAUUGAGUAUUAUGCUUUCUUCUGGUUUAAUAUACUCCAUAAUGAUUGCUGAUAUUUGCUCAUAGAUGUCUUCAGGCUGCCCGUGAACUGGAACUCUAGUAAUCCCAGGUAAAUCCACCAUAGUAAGAUCAGGGACCCCAUUCUUCUUAACAAUCAAAGUCAGGGGAACCUUUGAUAUUCCCUUGCUUCUGCCGGCAAUCUCAUCAGUUGCAACGCUGAUGGCCUCAGCAAUAUGGUCCUCAUUGGUUGGAACAACUCUUCCGUUGAACUCCAAGCUCAGCUCUGGCUCGGGACUGGGAUGACUUUGCAGCCUCAUAAUCAAGGGAACCCUUGUGCAUAUCCCUUGUCCCCUAGGCAAGCUAAUUCCAGCCAAGGACUCUAGAACGCUGGACUUACCUGAAGAUUGAUCUCCUACAACAACAAUUGUUGGAAGCUGGAUUCCUUCUUGCAUGACUUUAAGGUUUCGUAGCCUGUCUAUGCAGUCCAGCAAUGGCCUAAUGCGUUCAUUGUAGGAUGACACGAUGGGGGCUUGGAUUGCUUGCAUUUCUUCUUGAUCAUGAACAGCUUGAACGAGGUCUUUGGUGAUUCCUUCAGAAACAACAUUGGAGCCGUCUCUUAGUACACUCAUGUUUAAUUUGUCGUGGUUGUUGGUUUUGAGUGUUUCUAUUAUAUUGUCGUAGGUAAAAAGAUUGGGAACUUGGAAGGGAGAAAGGAGAUGAAAGAGCAAGAGAUUUUCAGGUUUGGUGAAAGCAAAUUUGGAUUUGUGAUAAUUUAUAGGUGAUUUUUAUGUCGAUCUCAAUACCAUCUCUUUUCUUGGAAGAAAUAAGGUGUUCCAAGAAUUGAGAUAGAAAUACGAAAUCUAUGAAAAAGUUAAAUGAUCAACCAAGCAAAACAAUAGCAUCUUUUGAAGUAGUUAACUCCAAGGUAAAUCAGCACAGAUUCCUUAACUCGCUCUGCAGAGUGGAAAGCUGAUGCUUGACUUGCUUUUCUCUCCUUUGCCAACUGGAAAGUAAAGUUCAUCGAAAAUCAGCUAUAACCCUUCGAUUGAUCAGCAGACUAAUUAGCGGUGUAAGAUAGAAUUACUUUGUUACACCAAAAUAAAUCGUGACAAUCAAAAGACUUGGGAGGUCAUUAAAUUGCUCUUUUCCUUCAACUUUACGUCAUACUUGUGCUUCACCAUUGGCGUCAUGUUAUGACCUGAUUCCGGAAUGAAGAAAGGAAUUGACGUGGGGUUUAGGAAAGAGAGAAAAUUUAGAAAUUAGGGAGAAUGAGAAGAGCUUAUUGAUUUCAUCUUCCAGAAUGAAUCAGUAGUACACGGGAGUAGCUUAUUUAUCGAGCUUCAAGUCACUUCUUGUAACAGAAUAACUACUUGCUACUACUAGCGUGUUAAGCUGUAACUUCGCUAACUACUUCUAGCACGUGGCUGUGACAUGAGGAUACAGCAAAAAUAUAGCAUUAUUGGAUUAAUUAUACAAGGCAUAACAUUGCUCCCCCUUAAGAAUCCGAGUCCCUAGGAUUAAAAUCUGGAAAUUGUCCCUUGAGCACAAUCCAAUCUUACCACGUUGCUUCUGCAGGAGACAUGUUCACCCAAUCCGCAGUACUUGAGUGACUGCAGAAUUUCCUCUCUUUAUCAUUCUUCUAUCCAAGGUGGCUUGAGGCCACUUUCACAGUGCCAUCAUCUAUAACUUGAGGCAAACUACCACUCACGGAUACACCCUUAGCAACUUUUUUAACAUAGAUACAUGGAAUACAGGAUGAAUGGGAGCAUCUGCUGGUAACUCCAGUUUAUAAGCUCCAACCUUCUGUAAAAUUUUAGAAGGUCCAUAGUUUUGGAUGAAAGCUUCAGAUUUCUUCUAAGUGCUAUAGAGCUUUGUCUGUAUGGUUGAAGCUUCAAGUACACCCCAUCUCCUACUUCAAAACUUCUCUUAUCUGCAUUCUGCUUCAUCUAUUCUGAGCUACCUCUAGAUUUUCUUUCAACAAUCUAUCCCAAUCUUGUCUUCCCUUCACCCAAUUUGUAGCUAUUGAGGAGUUUUCCGCAGAUGGCAACAAGCUAAUUUGAGGGGAGGAUAACCAUAAAGAGCCAUGAAAGGAGUCAUCUAUAAAGCCGAGUGGUAAUUGGUGUUAUACCACCACUCAGCUGCAGUCAACCUCUGUCUCCAUUUGGUGGUUGCUGGAAGGUCAUGCAUCUUAGAUAGGUCUCUAAGCACCUAUUCAAUCUUUCUAUCUACCCGUCAGACUGUGGAUGGUAAGUAGAUGGUAGGUAUAACUCGGUACCCACCUUUUAAGAAUAAGUCCUGCCAAAAAGCACUAGUAAAAACCUUGUCUCUAUCUGAGACUAUGCUAAGAGGUAGGCCAUGUAGUUUGUAAACAUGAUUAAAGAACAACUGAGCUACAUCUUGAGCUGUGUAAUUGCUGGUAGGGAUAUGAAAUGUCCAUAUUUGGUGAAUCUGUCAAUGACCGCCAUAAUGGUAUCAUGCCCCUUAGAUUUGGGAGCCCUUCUAUAAAAUCCAUGGAGAUAUGCUGCCACGCUUGUUUAGGUAUUAGUAAGGGUUGUAGUAGUCCCAGAUAUUUUCCUAAUUCUGCUUUACUCUUUUUACAAGUGUCACAGCCUGCACCAUUUGUUCCACAUCUCUUUUCAUUCCCAGCCAGUAAAAAUACAGCUUCAUUCUAUGAUAGGUACCACUAUUACCGAAAUGACCACCAACUAGAGAAUCAUGCAUGCAUUCCAUCAGCUUCCUUCUCAAAUCAGUAGCAUCCCCCACAAAAAUUCUACCCUUGAACCUGAUGAUACCAUGGUCAUAAGUAUAAUCUGUAAGAGAGUCUCCAUUAGUGGACAGAUUUCAACAAUUCCUUAGCUUUAGCAUCUCCAUUGUCGCUUUGAGUAACUUCCUGGAGCCAUGCAGGCGUCACUAUUGAUAUUGCAUUCAAUUCAUUUUGCUCAUUUUCACCCCUUCUGGACAAGGCAUCAGCAACAAUAGUGUCCCUUCCUUUCUUGUAUUGAAUCUCAUAAUCCAUUCCCAUCAGUUUAGAGAGCCAUUUUUGUUGUAAGGGAGUAGUGAUUCUCUGGUCUAGCAGAUACUUGAGACUUUCAUGGUCAGUCUUAAUUACAAUAUGUGCUCCCAUCAAGUAAUGCCUCCACUUGGUCACUGCUACAAUUAGGGAUAGUAGCUCCUUCUCAUAUAUUGACAUCCCUAGAUUUUUAUUUGCUAGUACCUGACUCAUAUAUGCUAUUGGUCUUCCUUGUUGUAUCAACACAGCUCCUAGAGCUUUGGCUGGCAUUAGUCUCUAGGAUAAAGGUUUAGUAAAGUCCGGUAAUGCUAAUAUAGAACUCAUGACCUAUUUCAACUAGUAGAAAGCAUUCUCAGCUUCUGUACUCCACCAAAGGAAUCCUUUUCUAACAAAUCAGUCAAAGGUUUAGCUAUCAACCCAUAGCUCUUAACAAACCUUUGAUAAUACCUGGUCAACCCAAGAAAACCCCUUAAUGCUUUAACAACUCAGGACGUGGCUAGGAUACCAUGCUCUGUACCUUUGCGGGAUCAGUUACCACUCCGUCCUUGGUGACAAUGUGUCCCAAGUACUCAACCUAUGGCUAACCAAAAGUGCAUUUGGAGAGUUUGGCAUAAAGUUUAUGAUGUCUGAGAGUAUCCAGAACUUGUUUAAGGUGAAUAAGGUGGGUAGUCAAAUAUGGGCUAUAUACUAAGAUAUCAUCAAAGAAGACUAAUACGAAUUUUCUGAGAAAUUGAAUUCAUGAGUGCUUGAAAGGUUGCCGGGGCAUUAGUAAGCCCAAAUGGCAUAACGAGAAUUCAUACAAUCCAGUGUGAGCUCGAAAGACUGUUUUAGGUAUAUGAUUGGGAUGCAUUCUAAUCUGGUGAUAACCAGAUCUGAGAUCAAUUUUGGAAAAUAUUUUGGAACCAUGAAGCUCGUACAAGAGAUCAUCAAUGAUAGGGAUAGGAAAUUUGUCCUUAAUGGUGAUUUCUUUAGCUGUCUAUAAUCAAUACAAAACCUUCAGGUUUCAUCUUUUUUUCUAACUAGCAGGACGGGUGAAGCGAAAGGGCUAUGACUAGGCUGAAUAAUGCCAUUAAUAGAAUUUCUUGAACUUGUUUCUCAAUUUCAUUCUUCUAAAUGUGGGGAUAUCUAUAAGGAAUCAACUUGAAAGGUUUAGAAUCUGGUUUAAGGGGUAUCUCGUGAUCUAAUUGUCUAAUAGGGGGUAGGUGGAGAGUUCUCCAAACACAUCAGUACAAUAAGCCAGGAGUGCACUUAUGGAGUCAUCAGUGUGAGACGUUACCUUAGGAGUGUUAACUGCUAGAACACAGGGCUGUGUAGAGUUUCUUUCUUCUUGUAUCUCAUAAACUUUUGGACAGUUUUUCCUUCCUCAGUUUGAUGUCUGCCUUCUUAAAUCUCCUUGUAGCUUUAUUUCCCACCCCUCCUGAUUAAAGGAGAAUUGCAGAUGCUUGAAAUCAAAAGUUAUAGGACUAUGCUCUCUCAUCCAAUUAACCACCAAUACCAUAUCGUACGGCUCAAUUGCAAGCACAUAUCCAUCAUGAGUGAAUGUAUGCCCUUGUAUUUCUAAGGAUGAUCCGUGGAACCCAGCUACUACACUGUAGCAUCUGCCCAUUAGCCACUUGACUGCGAACAAUUUCCUUGGUACUACUAAUUGAGGAUUUUCCUCGAACACUGAAGCUUCAACAAAAGUGUGAGAACUUCCUCCAUCCCAAAAUAUUGAGAGUGGUUUGCCAUUAAAUUUCCCUUCAGUUUGAUAGUACCCUGCAGCAGCUCGCCAAUCAUAAAGUGGAUGGAAAAUACUACAUCUUUAUGACUAUUGGAAAGAGUUCGAUCGUACAUAGGUUGGCAAACAUGGCUGGCAUGAAAAAGUGAUACAGUAUAUGAAAUUUGACUUCAAAAGCUUGCCCUUGCUCUUUCACGGAUACGGGGCAGGGACGGUCAUCAGAAGGACCGUCCCUGAACAGUUCCCUAACAAACUCUAAUAAGAGGCCCUUAUGCAUCCAUGUUGAUAUAAAUAAAAUGCUCCCGUUUCACUUAGUGAGCAUAAAAAAAUUUAAAAAAAACUUGCCUUAGCCUAAUAGAUUCCACUACUGUCGAAACUUCGUUCCAAAAAAAUCCCGCCCAAAUUGAUUGGGCAUGACUAUCCAUUAAAACUCAAAGCCUAAUGCUCUCCCUCCAAAAAUCAAUCUCUUACUUUCCAUCCAAAAUUUGUCAAUAUAACUCCAUAACUCUAGAACUAGAGCAAAAUAACAUUCAAGAACAAGAAAAUUGCAGACGAGAGUGCCAAAGAAGAGCCAUGGAAAUGUACUAUCACCCAUCAAUCAUUACACUGAGGAGAAGAAGAACUACUUGCUGAAGGAAAAGGUGUUGGAGAUCUGAUAGUAGAAGGUGGUAGGAUUUGAGACAGAGAAACACCCAAUUGCAUCUGCAUAAACCCUUCAGGUAACAAUGUUGCAAACCAAUGACUUAAUUUCAUUUUUUGGUGAAUGGUGUCCAUCUAUUGUACUUGUAGUCUCAUGAAACCCUUUGAAUAGUAGAAGUUAAUUAGUUGAUGGACUGCACAAGAGAGGAGGGUAAAGAAAAAUUUUGCAUGCCAAAUGUUUGCAAAAUAGAAAAAAAAACUUUCAAACCAAUUAGUAGAAAGAGUUAUUACUAGGGGAUGUAUAUGAGAGUAUUUGUCUAGCAAUAACAACAUCAGAUCAACAAUAAAGUCAAGGUUAUAAAGAAACAAAAAAUUUCAAGUUAUAUUUUUCAUUUGUGUCGGUUGUAGGGACAUGUAAUGGUGUAGAUAGAAUUACUGGUGUUUAUGGGUAAUUACAACGAAAUAAAAUAGGAAGUACAUUAAGAAUAAUAGCAAGCAAAGUGAAUGAUUAUAAUGAAUUAUAAGAUGUUCCAGUGAGUAUGCCUUUACAUCAAUACUGGAUAGCAAAAUAAUAUUUGUAAUUAACUGGUGAUAGUGGAGAAACACUUUCAUGCAGUUGGAAAUUAAUAAUCACUUACACUAAAAUGUUCAAUUUGCUUAAAAAAGUCACAAUGAAGGGAAAAAGAAGGAAUAGAGGCCAACAAAAAGAGGAAAAUGCACACAUUAUUAACAUUAAUGAGUGGUAUUUCAUGUUUGAAGAUUAGUACUUAUUCAUAUAAGAACUGUCUAGUAAUUGAAGUGAAUUACUUUAAACUUAAUUGGUAUGAGUAUUUAAAAUCAUUUAUAUAUAUUAGAUUGAAUGUACAUACGGUUCAGUAUGCCUUAUGUAGUGCAAAAAUAUAAUUAUAAGAUGUCUUAGUAGUGUGCCUGUACAUCAUAUUAGAUAACUAUUAUUUUUUAUGAAUAAACAGUGACCGUGGAGAAAUACUUUCAUAUAGUUGUAAAUUAAUAAUCAAUUAAAAUAAUGCCCUGUUAAAGAAAGGUGUGAAGGUUUGACAAUAAAGGAAAAAAAAUAAAAGGAAAUGCACGCAUCAAAUAAUAAUGGUGGUCCCUGUUUCUUGUGGAUUGCUUCAAAGUUGAUUGGUAUUAAUGUAAAUUCUAAUUUUUAUGUGUUAGGUUGAAUGUACAUAUUGUUCAAUAUGCCUUACUUACUGGUAGAAAAUGGUUACAAGAUGGUUUAGUUAAUAUGCCUAUACAUCAUAUUGGAUAAGUAUUGUUAUUGGUGAACAAUUAGUGACAAUCGACAAAUACUUUUAUGUGGUUGUAAUUCAGCAAUGAAGUAACAGGAUGAUGUUGAAGCAAGAUCUACGGGAUUUAUAAUGAAAGGAAAAGAAAUAUAAGGAAGAGAAGCGAGGUGAAGUGUACACACUAUUAAUUUGACAAUUUAUUAUCGCAUGUUUGUUACUUGGUACUUAUUUGUACAUUCCUAGUCUAUGGGAUUAAGCUUGAUUGGAUAAGUGUAGGAUGUAAUAUGUAUGUAUUAGGCUAAAUGUACUCAAUGUUCAAUAUGCCUUACUCAGAUUUGAAUCUAGUAUAUCAUAUUUAGUUGUGAUUUUAUAACGUCAUAUGAAUGCCAGGAAAAAAAAGGAAGCAGGGCAGGGACGGUUAAUAGAGAUCAAUCGUCCCUGAACAAUGUAAUAUUUUUUGAAUAUUUUGUAACUCUAUGUAAAUUUCUUGUACAUCCUUACAACAGAAAUGUGAUAUUUGGUUACUGUUCGUAUAAGUCCUAUAUAUAAUAAUUGUGUUUUUGUUGUUAAAUUUUUAUAAGUUGUUCACAUAAAGUUCCGUUUUGUUUAAAAAAUGUUAUUUUGUUCAGAACGGUUGUUUUGAACAAAGUAAGUAGCCUUUACAAUUUGCAUGAGCAGUGGCAAGAUAGCACGGAAAAAGACAAAGAAGAAUCCAAGAGAAAAGGAAGAAAUAUAAAUAGGGGAACUACCAAACUUGCAGAACCAAUCCCAUCAUUUAUAAUUAGAAAGGAAAAGAAGAAACCAACUUGAGAAGAAGAAAUGAAGCAAGCGAACUCAGCUAAUAGCAUUGUAUAACAGCAUUGAUGGCAGACAACCUAAGGUUCCAUCUAAAUCACUUAAUACGUAAGUGGCUAGUGUUUGUCUCUUGCAACAUCUAUAGAACUCAAUACGUGAGCUUGAUGAUAAUUAUGCGCAACAUGCAAUGGGAAGCAGUCAGGGAAAGAAGAAAAAAAAAUGAAGGUAAAACAUCUUGUUCAGAUUGCCUUUUUUAGUGUGGAAAAAUGGUUACCAGUUAUGUUAAUUAGUAUGCAUACAUCGUGUUAGAUAACUAUUACAUUUUGUGAUAGAAUAGUGAUAGUGAAAAAAAUACUUUGACAUGGUUGUAAAUACACACUUAACUAGUAUAAUGAUAUUAAAUAAAGUCCUAGAAAUUGAUAAUGGAACCCUUGUGAGGAAAGAAAUAGAGACAUAAGUUUACUCUUGUUUGUAAGUUGAAACCCCAAUUAAUUGUGGCAGAUCAAUAAUUGAAACCCACAGUAUGAAAAUUGAUUGGCAUGAAUCUUGGUUCUAAUGCCUAUAUGUUAGGUUGAAUGUACUUGUUGUUCAAAAUGUCUUGCACAUAAUUGAAUCUACCAUAUCAUUACUUUAUCUUGAUUUAGGAAUGUCAGGAAAAAACCUUAUUAACAUGAAAACAACUACAUAGCUAUACCUUCACAGAAAAAUGCAAAUAUUAACUAUACCAAAGUUCUAGAAUACAUUCCAACUCAUUUAGCUAUUUUUCACUAUGCUAUUUCCAAUCUACUUUUUAUAGAUAUGCACAAUCAAGUAACUAACACCUCAUUGAUUAUACCUCAUAGAUCAUGUACAUUUUCAUAAGCUGAUUAAUGCAGAUAUUAACAAACAUUAGUAAUUGUUUACUCUUGUUUAUAUUUUGAAACCUCGACUAACUGUAGUAAUCCAGUAAUUGAAGCCUACAGUAUGAGAAUUGAUUGGCAUGAGUCUUGGUUCUAAUGCCUAUAUAUUAGGUUGAAUGCACUUGUUGUUCAAAAUGUCUUACUCAUAAUUGCAUCUGCUAUAUCAUUUUUAGAACUACUUUAUCUUGAUUUAGGAAUGUUGGGAGAAAAUCUUAUGUAAUUGUUUAUCAAAAAGUUGGUGCAGAUGGCAUAUAAGAGAUUGAGAAGUUUGAUUAAGAAAGCAUCUAGAGAAGAAAAAAGUGAAAAAUUAGAUAAUAGCGAACUUGAAGCAUCAUCAAAAUCCUUGAAUAUGUAAGUUUGUCAAUGCUUUUAUGUUGCACCAGUAUGUUGGUAGGAUAGUGAGACGUGAUUUUUUUCUUUUUCUUUUUCAACAAACGAUAAUAGCUUUAUAAAUAUUAACACUUGAUAAUACAAGAAUUACUUACAAAAGGGGCAACUUGGAAAGUCACUUUCCCAAUCUAUGUCAUUAACUAGCUUUGAUGCAAAAAGUGCUAGCCUAUGACUUGCUAUAUUUGGUGUUCUAGGUACCUAAGAUAUUGUGCAAUGGUCAAAAUCUAGUGUUAGGUCCGCAAUGUCUUCCAAGAUGUUUGCUAGAGUUCCAUCUUGUACAUUGUUGCAUCUGAUGUUGUUUGUGUCUAUGAGACGUGAUUAUUUGAUUGAUUGCAAUUAAGAGUUGUUGAAUCUUAGUCAAAUUGAUAUGUGUUGAACAAAGUAAAUAACCUUUACAAUUUGCAUGAGCGGUGGCAAGAUGGCACGGAAAAUGGCAAAGAAGAAUCCAUGUGAAAUGGAAGAAAUAUGAAUGAGCUUGCAGAACCAAUCCCACCAUUUAUAAUUAGAAAGAGAAAAAGAAAUCAACUUAAGAAGAAAAAUGGAAAAAGUGAAACUAGAUUAACAGCAUUGUAUAACUCUUUUACUUUCUUUUUAUACAUUUUAGUUACUACAAUAUUUGUAAAUUUUGUAUUUCAAUUUAUAGAAAAUGUUAUGUAGUGAUAGGUAAGAAUCCUUGUAGAUAUCAUUGUAAUCAUCAUAGAUUUUUGUUCAAUUUGUAAAUUUGUUUGAAGCAUUAUAUAUAUCUAUUAGAAUUGUUGUAUAUAUUGUUAUGACUAGAUUGUACAUUUGGUUGAUUUUUAUAUGCAUCAUACUUAAUAAAGUUAAGGAUAUUUGUUCAAAGAGCAAUUAAAUGAUAGAAGGAUGCCAAAAUUGACAUCCCAACUGUGUUUCUAAGGUUUUUAGUUUGGAGUUUGACAAAAAUGGAAACGAGUGACACUAUGAUUGGGUGUUACAAAUUUGUUGAUAAAAAUCAAAACGUGUACACUCCACAGAAAAAUGCUAAUAUCAACUACACCAAAGUUUCUAGAAUACAUUCUAACUCACGUAGCUACUUUUUAUUGCAUUAUAUCUAAUUUUUCUUUUAUAAAUAUAUAUAUUCAAGUGACUAACACCUAACAUGAUGUACAUUUUUAUAAACUAAUUGUAACUCAUAAAUCACUCCGUGUAAAGUGCUCACAGAUAAAUUAGUACUACUCAUACAAGUAAAAUUAUGCAUCAAUUAUAGGGAGAUGCACAAGUUGAUCAAAUGGUCAAUAACCAUUUCAAAGUUAUGCUUACCAUUGCACUACCUUUCAUAGAUAUAUACAGAUAAGUAACUAAUAUCUAACAUGAUGUACAUUUUUGUAAACUGAUUGUAUCUCAUAAAUCACCUCGUAUAAGUUGCUUAUAGGUAAAUUAGUAUUAGUUAUACAAAUUAAAUUACACACCUACUGCAGCCUGCAAGAAGAUGCACAAGUGGGUCAAAGCACUAAUAAUCAUUCCAAGUGUAUGCGUACCAUUGCACUAUGCAUGUGGCUGCGAUGACUAAUUGCAAUACGCAUGAGUAAUUACUACUUUUUAAGAUUGUCAUAUAUUGACAACUAAAAUUUUACCUAAAUCCACUACUUUCAUAAUAGUGGUAAAUAACUAGUUAAAUUUUUGUUCAAUCAAAAUGUAUGUAACUUAUAAGUAACCAAAUGUAACUAAUUUUCACUAAUUUGUGAAACAAAUUUUUUUUUUGAACAUAUCAUAAAAUGGACUAAAUAGUUUGUAAGGCAUUAGCAAUGGAAAGUCAGUAAAUACUAACAUGAGAUACAACAUCGACAUGUAACUAAUUAACAAUAAAAAGUAAAUUUUUUUUUGCUAAUUGAUAGAAUAGAGUUAUUGCUUUGAAUAUAUUGUAAAAUAGAUUGAGCUAACCAUAAAAGAUUAAUAACAAAUAGUACUUAAAUAUUAACUAAAUAUACAACACUGAUAAACAGAAUCUAAAAUUAAUAAUUUAACUUUUUUUUCCGCUAAUACAUUGUAAAAUGGAUUGAACAUAUGGUAAUGCAUUAAAAACUAAUUGUAAGUACAUUCUAACUAGUAUUACAAGUCUAGCUUAAUGAACUGUCUAAUUGUCCAAUCUAAUUUCUUUACUCCACCAGCAUUGAUUGAUAUCCAUUGAUUUGUCAAAAGAAACUAUCUUUGCCCAUGAUAUACUGCAAAAUAAAAUUAAUAAGAUAUAAUGUGUUAGCAAUUACAUACAAGGUAUAGUUAAUCAGAUCCCAAUUUAUACGCCUAUAUGAACUCUAUGAACCAAUAAACAACUAUAUAGUAAAUUCAUUCUUACAUUAUGUGUAUGUAUGUGACAGUGUCUAUGGGUUAACAACCAAUUACAAAUUCAAACAAUAGAUUAACUUUUGUAAAUUUAUGGCCAUAUAAGCAUACAUAAGAUAUAGUACUACUCCGUACCUACUAAUAACGUGUACACUCUACAGAAAAAUGCUAAUAUCAACUAUACCAAAGUUUGUGAAAUACAUUCCAACUCAUGUAACUACUUUUUGUUGCGCUAUAUCUAAUCUCCCUUUUACAAAUAUACAUAGUCAAGUAAUUAACACCUAACAUGAUGUACUUUUGAAAACUGAUUGUACCUUAUAAAUGAUCUCGUGUAAGCUACUCAUAGACAAACAAGUAUGACUCGUACAAUUAAAUUUACAUAUCCAUUAUAGGGAGAUGCCCAAGUUGAUCAAAGGGCCAAUAACCAUUUCAAAUUUAUGCGUACCAUUGCACUACCUUUCAUAGAUAUACAUAAUCAAAUAACUAACAUCUAACAUAAUGUACAUUUUAGUAAACUGAUUGUAUCUCAUAGAUCACCCCGUGUACGGUGCUUAUAGGCAAAUGAGUAUUAGUCAUACAAAUAAAAUUACACAACCACUGCAGCCUGCAAGGAGAUGCACAAGUGAGUCAAAACACUAAUAACCAUUUCAAUUGUAUGCAUACUACUACACUAUGCAUAUGGUUGUGAUGACUAAUUGAAAGAUGCAUGUGGACAAAUAACUGUAUGUUUCAACAAUUUCUAUGCAUCAUACUUAGUCAGUAACACAGUGUACAUUAUUUCAACCAGAUUGUACAUUUACUAAAUAUUUAUAUAUAUACAUGCUACUUAUUGAAGUAAACUACCUAUCUACUAAAUAUUUAAUGCAUUCUCAUAAGCACUAAUGGUCAAUUUAAUAGGUGAUUGGAACAAAUAACCAUCUAGUAAAAACUUUUGAUAUAAUGUUAUUGAUGAAUAACAUACCAUACAUUCUGAUAAACAUGGUGUACAUCACGCACCUUAUCUAGACAAAAUCCUACAAGUUAUCAAAAGUCAUGCCAUACUUUAAAAGCAAUUACAAGUAGCAAAAUUUAUACAUGUACAGUCAUAUCAAUAGAUUGUAACUUUUAGCUUGCUUUCUAUAUAUUCAUACAAAUACAAGAAUUGUAUAAUACAUAACUCUUGCUUUAUAACAUAAUUUUCCUAACUAUACUUAACAUUUUCCCCUAGUUGUGUGAAGCUUAAACUUCUUUAUCAAUCUAAUGACUUGGUUAUUUUCAGAGUUACUAAUCGACCUAUGAAUAACCAAAAUUAAGGAUAAGGGUUAGUAGAAUUACCUUCGUCUACCUCUACCAUUGUUUUUCAACCUUACUUCGCCAUCCGGAAUAGUGGUGUAUGUACUCAGUUCUAUUUUGCUACCCAAUAUUUGCUUCAGGAUCGAAAUUGCGAGGCAUUAAUACCUGUUGCAUCUGUCUUCUUUACCCUUAAUCGUCAACAGAUCUCCUCUAUAAUGAUGAAACACUACUAUAGCCUGUUUCUUCAGUUUGAAUAGCCCUUAUCCAUCAAGCACAUAUCCCUCACAACACGUUACUUCUCCAGCUUUAACAAAGAAGGAGAAGGUUAUCUCUCAGUAAUUUUCUCAUCCCCAGUUAGAGAGAGAAAUUAGUUUCCUUGAAGAUAAAUAUGAUGUUGAAUUUUCAAUUCCCGAUUAGAAAGAUAAAGUUGUUUUCUUCAACAUUGUGUUAAAUAGUGACUUUCCCAAUUUUAAGUUGAAGCUAACUAUCAAAUUCAAAAUUUCAUUUCAAAAUUCAAACUUUUGAAAGUUCCGUUUAGUUUAACCCAGUCCGUUAAGAUAAGCCAAGUCAAAUUUUUUUUUUUUUAGAUUUUACUAAUUGGAACGAUAACACUUUUGCUUCUCUUGUGAUCCUUGGCUGUGUGGCUCUUUUUCAGCCACAUAUUUAGGCUUGUGAGGACCGUCCCUGCCCCAUAUGGAUGAGAGGCAGGAGCAGUCAUCAGAUGGACCGCUCCUGAACUGUUAAGGGCCAAGAUUUGGCUAUAAAAAAUUGUAAGGUCCAUAUCACUUCUUGUACAUCGAUUUUCACAACGUGUGUGGAGCCCACAAAAUUUUAUUCUAAAAUUACACAUUGUGCAAAUAAAGUUAUACUUGUGCAAACAAAGUUACGUGGUAUGUAAAAUGCAUAAAACCGCGAAGAACAGUUGCAACCGGCAACCGUUCCUGCCCGUGGUCCACCCUAUAUCCGCUCUUUCGCCCUACUGUCCAAAGUAGCUAUAACACCUUUUAGGGGGGAAAUUAAUUACGGAAGGAAAAGAUGAAUGGAAAAUUGAACUUUCAAAUGCAACUAUUGUUAAGGGUUAGAGGCACUGAGCACCCUAACUUGGAGAUAUUUUCACAUUUUUCUUUAACGUUAUUUUUGUUGUAUUUUGCCCCUUCUAUUAAGUCACAUCAACUUUUGUCAUUAAAAAGAAAAGGUCAAAAGUUUCAAUCUUGCCCUUAUCUCCAUUUCCCUUCAUUUUUUUCCUUGUCUAAGUUUCUCAUUUCACACCUUUUUCGUAGGUGUAAUUUCCUUUUUUUUUUUUGAAAAUUAAGAACUAUGUUUCCAAAAUAUUUCACUUCUAUUUUUUUUUAAAAAAAUCUACCAAUAUUAAGCAAACAGAAAACUUUGCUAUUGUUAAAAAUAUUGCACAUUUAUUAUGAACAUCAAUAAAUGGAGGUAAGAUACAAUUGUGGUAAGAUAUCUCUCAAACACGUGUUAGUGAAAAUAUAAAAAUUUUGACAAAAAAUUUUCUUGUUAAAAUUACAUAGCAUUAUUUUUUGGUAUCUAUUUUAUGAUUUUUGUUGUACAUGAAAUGAUUUUAUUUUAAAUUUUACAAUAGAUUUCAAUGGCAUGUAAUUUUUUAAAAAGGGGUUGGAACUCGUUUUAAGGAAAUUCUUCCGAAACAAAAGGAUCGGAUCUUUUUUUCAAGCAUCAUUUCUUCACUAAUUUUUACUUUGAAAUCAUUAAUUUCUUUUUUGAUAAACUGUUAUUGUCGACCAUUAGUUAAAGGGAAAAAGUACAAUAAAAAUAAUGUUAGGAAAAAAAGUGCAAAUGGCAACAAACUUUAGGAGGCUAAGUGCCUUUAACCCUAAGAUUAAUUCUAGUGUUUGAUACUGCUUUGUCUGUGACAGCCCCACCUCCCACUAAAGCGAACCAAAGGGUUCGGCGGACCGCUUGUCCAACUCUCGCAGGGACUCAGUCGUUCACUUCAAUUCUUAAUCAAAACCAGAAUAAAAUCACAGGAAUAAACAUAACAACGAUCCAAAACUUAAAGCAAAACUUAUAUACAUUGCUAUCUCAAAAGGGAGUACAAAUAUCGAAUAUACAAAAGUUAUCAAUUCUUCAUACAUCCAACCCGUGCCAAGCGCUUGGGCGAGAACCAUUACAAAAUCAGAGAUCCAGCCUAAGCUAGUCUAUACAAAACUCCUGUCCUGGUUCGCCUUCCCCUGUUAAGGAAAACGAAACUAAAGGAAUGAGUUAAAAGUUCAGUGAGGUUCCGAACACAUAAUCAAACAGUCAAUUCAAUACAUUAAACAUAGAAUAUCAAUAUUUCACGAUAAUAACACAUUCAUUAAAAGAAUACGGGCUCACAAGGAGCCAUUCAUUCGUUCGUUCAUUCAUUCUCCUAUCAUUCCCCUUAUUCCUCCAAUCAUUUGAAAAUGCGUUUUUGUAAGUAAAACCCUCGUUCGUUCAUUCGUUUCAUUCACCCCCUUCUUGGACGUUGUCCAGGCUCCACCAGAAUUCAAGGUAAUACUCGAGUAUACCAAACGUUCACACCCAGGGUUACCAUAUCGCCCGAUCGAGUCCGCUUCUGGCCCGAGUCGAUCGGUAACAAAGCGUAGGGUCCAGUUCAGCCAAAAGGCUUACAUCAUGCACAUGUAACAUUUCAAUCAUUAAAUCAUUGAAAAUUUCACAUUUUAUUUAGGUCGAGCGCGAUAAAGUACACACUCACCUAAAAAACUCGUUUUGAAAAUCCUGAAAAGCACUUAACACAUUGUCAAACAAUAACACAAGUUAUGAAGUCAAGAAAAAUAUAGCAAACAAGGAACACUCACCUAUUUAUGCAAAAUAACGUGCAAAAUAUCCUUCCGGGUCUUACCCUUAGUCAUCGAGAAAACCUAAAAUUAAACGAGAAAGAAUAUUACAGUUUAUCUAGCAAAACAAUUAUGUGAAAUCGAGAAAACCCGACUAAUUACGAGUAAAACGUAUAAAGAUGACCUUCAAGUGAAAAGCGGGUAUUUGGAUCUGUGGACAGAAAUAACUAGGGUUUCAUAAACCAAACUUAAAACUAAACUCAAAAGGGUUAUAAAAUUUCUAACGGAAAACACUUGGACCAAAGACAAAUCGGAAUCCAACUAGAUAAACUAAAGAAAUAUGUUUUUUUUUGAAUCAUUUGGGUAGUUCAAAAUCAAUAUAUAAUCAAGUAAAUAUUAUACAAAAAAUAUCUUGAUGAAAAGCAUGUGAAAAGGAGGACAAAAAUACCUUAACUUCACACUUAAACCCUUACUUGAAAGUAGUUCAUUUGUGGUCGAGAAAAUCGUAGUUCAUACCUCUAUAUUUUGGUACGGAGUAAGUAAACAUUUGAAAUUUCAAAUUGAAGAGGUAUCAUGUUUUAAAAUGAUAAAACGAUCAUAAUAUUUACCAAGUAGAAAUAUAGGAGUUCAAAUGAAAAAUAUGUUUUCGAACACCCUUCGAGAGCAUCAAAGUAGUUUUCCCAUGAAAUACGCCCAACUUGACUCAAAACACAUUUCUAAAACCAUUUUAACUCACUCACAUUACAAGAAAAUAAACGGACGGUAUUUCCCUCUAAAACUUCAUUUUCUUCCUACAAACAAAUACCCAAACUUGCAAGAAUCAAACACAAUCACACAUUCGGUUUAUAAACAAUAAAACACGUCCAAUUAGGCCACACUAUCCUUCAAUUAAAGCCAAUUAGAAGCUCAAAAGCCUACCAUUAGAAAAUCCCCAAAUUAAACCCUAGAAACCGGAAUUUAUUCCCACAAGCAGAAAUUUUCCGCAAACAACCGCAAUUAACGUAUAAAGGUCCCAUUUAACACCAUUUUAAUCCAUCAAUCCAAGACCAACCCAUGACUAUCAUAUAAAAUCAGAAAAAUACUCAAUAAAUCAGAAAUUGAACCAACUUAACUUAAAACCAUGAAAUCAUCCACAAUAUAGCAUCUCCAACCUUUACAAACCACUAAUUAACCAAUAUUAGCACCAAAAGAGAAUUUCUUAACAACUCACCUUAUGAGCUCAAGAAAGGUAGAAACUUAAGACUUCCCCUCCAAAAACAACUCCACCAAGACCUCUAACCCUGCUUAGCUAGUGCUUGUAGGGAGUAGUUUGAAAAUUCAACGGUGAAAUCUCAAUAUUUGAGCAAAAAUUGAAGAUAGAAAAUGAAGAGCUUUCUUGGUUUUUCUCUCAAGCUAGCCGGUCAAGCAAGGAGCAAAAUGAAGAUAUUUUAGGCCAAAAGUAGGACAAGAAUGAAAGAAACAGCCGGUCAAAGCUGGUGACCGACUGUGACACGUCACAAUCCGGCCAGAUUCCUGGGCGGAUACAGGGCAGAGGCGAAACCAAUUUUUUUUUUUCAAAAUCCUCAAACAAUCCGGCCAAGAUCUGGCCAGAUUUGCGGCCGGAUUUGGUACCAAACAUUUUCAAGAAAAAUUUUCUUUUCUAAACUCACACGCCGUGUUCAUCCGUACUUCCAACGAAUAUAUAUAUAUAUAUAUAUAUAUAUAUAUAUAUACAUAAUCUCACGCAAAUUCAUUUGAUAUACACAACCACAUACUCACAUUUAUAAAUAAAACCUCUUUUUAAAACAAAUGGUUACCAAAUUUUCAUUUGAAACGGAAAGUGAGAAUAAAGAAAAGGUUAAGAAAACGUGAAAAUUUUUAGGGUUCUCACAUUGUCACUACGAACUUACUAGUCCGGAGUUUACUUUUGUCGAAAUGGGAAGGAAAAUUGGGGGGCUAAGUUUUGUUCUGAACUAGACACAAAGUUCGUUAAUUACAUUUUACUUCUCUGGGAACCCAUCUCACCCCCAACUGCCAACAUUCUUUAAUUACACAGUAGUAUCAGAAUCGUGCUUUCACUUUUACGCGUCUAUAACUCUUCUGUUUUUGGACUAUAUUUCUAUAAUUAAAUGGAGUAACAUUUUAUGCCCCCUCAUAAAAAUUUGCGAGAUUCUGAUAUUUAAUAGUUUUUGCACUACAAAUUACAAAAAUCCCGCGUGGCAUUAACCAUACAAUAAUAUUACGCUAAAAAUGGGCUUGGGGAAGUUCAUGCUACAUAAAUCAUACGUUGAGAGAAGAAUGAAGAGGUUCUUGAAAGCUGUUCUUAUUUCUUGAUUAUUACUUCUUCUUUUUUUUUUUUUUUCCAUGAGUCUUUUAACUUUCAUCACUUAAGAUAAUAAGUUAUUAAGACUGGAAAUUGUUUGUUGAAUCAAUCUACCUGCAGGUUUUGAGUCUUCCCAAGUCUUCCUUUAUAGUCAUCUUCUUAUUCUUGAAUUUCACUCACAUUAUUUUCUUGUCACUUGUAAAGGAGUCUUCCCACGUCUUUCGUUUGCCGUCGUCUUCUUUUUAUUUUUCUUUUUCACAUCGUUUCCUUUUCAGCUGUUGUCAGUUAUGUGUAAUCGCCAAUGGGAAUUGUUACCUUGGAGAGCAAGUGUCAAAAAAUAAGGAAAGUAAUAUCUUCAAAUCUUGUGAUUACGACUUUAAUAGCAUGGUACUAUAUCUGGUGGUUUUUCUCGUUUGAAUUAACUCAGAAAAAGAAAAUUAUUGACUCGUUAACUUCAUGGCUAGUCCAGUCAAGCAUGGACAAAUUUACAGAUCUUUGGGCAAACUUUGGCAUUCUUGAUUGGAUUGAAGUUUUUUUGCAGAAAAGUUUUUACAUGAUCGCAUUUCUCAAAUACCCUUUUAUUUCAUAUAUAUAAAAUUGUUAUAGUAUAUUUUUUUUUAUAAUAAUAUAAAAAAAAAGACAAUCCAAACGAGUGCAUGUGUAGACUAAUUGGCUAACUUCCUCAAAUUUUGUGUGUGUUUGAUUGGCGGAUUUGUUAUUGUAUCAAAGAGAUUCGAUGAACACAAUUAUGAAGUGUAUGGAAACGAAGCUCACGGUCAAGGACAAAAUAAUCAGUUAAUUGCAAUGAAAAUAUAGAUGACUCCACAAUAUAUACGACUCCUCCUUCACAACAAUAUUCCCUUGAGUCCUACUCUUUGUGUAAAUAUGGCUGCAAACGAAUUCAGCCACUUGCGAGUAGUUCAAGCCAAAACUCGACCCGAGUUUGGUUAACGAACUGAUCAAAUCGAACUCGAACUUAAAGAAACUCAAUUCGUCAACUCGCAAGUUGACUCGAAUAUAUAUAUAUAUAUAUAAAUUAUAUAUAUAAUUUUAAUAGUAAAAUUAUAAUAUAUAUAUAUAUAUAUAUAAGUUCUUAAUAUUUUAUUAUUUGUUAUGAAAAAUUAUUAUUUUAUUCAUUUAUUAAAAAAUAAAAUAAUUAUUUUUUUAUUUUUUUUAUCUCAAGCACAAACUUUACAUUGAGAACUCGAGCUCGAAUUCGAGUUUGAUAAAACUAAAUCGAGACUCGAUUCGAUUAGGUCAAAAUUCGAUUCGACUCAACUUGUUUGCAAAUAAGUUGUUAUCAGAUAAGUUGAUAAAACCAGUCAUUAGAUAGUUAAAUAAGUUGUAAAAGAUUGCUCACAGUGUAAUAGUUCAAGAAUGCCUUUCAAUCAGAAAAAAAGUAAAAUUAUUUAUGUUUCAACCCUUCUUUCAACUUGCUUCUGGUACAAAACAACAAAUAGAAGUUAUUGAGAGCAAGAGAAUGAGAGUGGGGGAAUCAACUCCAUUAUCUUAGACCAAUGGCUUCUUGGACUAUUGGCCAUCACAAAGGCUUCUCAAUUCCUUUUGAGGUGGGAGUUCAAGGUUUUGAACCUUGCUCCUAUCAUUUGUCAUUCUAUGUGACUUCGCCAAAUUCAGUCGGUGUCGGUUUAGUUUUCUCUGGUUCUUAAUGACCUAGUUGAAUCUAUUCCCAUUUUCAUAGAGUAGAAGUAAGUGUAGAUUGUUGACGUUUGUAUGGGAAAAGAAAAAAAAAAAAAAAAAAACCUCCGUUAACUUAAGAUGGGGAUUUGGGGAUUGGGUAGAUAAGUCCCGAAUUUGGCCUCAGGAGUUACCACUAUGGCUUUUGAGGUUAAUUUGGGAUUAGGUUUAACUACUAAUUCUUAAAAUUUCUGAUAAAAAAAAACUUAAGAUGCCCAUUGUAUUGGGCUAACCCAGAGCUUAGACCAAAAACAUUUUCGUGGACUAUAUGUUUAUAUGUACGUCAAUUUCGGACUCCUGCUCCAGUUAAAAGCAUCCCAAUCCUGAGCAGAGGUGCAUUUACUUCGAGACAUUUGUAAAUGGGAACUUUGGAAGACUGGGACAAUGGGCACACAAGGAAACUUGAAGUCCUUAUGAUCAUCUAAUCAGUGCUCCUUAACGAACAGGAGAGUUCAAUCCGGAACCUUAUGAUCAUCUAAUCAAUGCUCCUAAGUCCUAUCCGAUUAACAAAGUUCUUCUCAGAAAGAAAGAAAAUUCAUCAUAACAACUGGAUUGGGCUCCUCUCUAGUACUCAUUCCUUCUAGUUUUCCUUAUCCAUCGUUUGGUACACAGAAAUAUCCAAAAUGUUAACGACUCACAAGAAUCCGCAGCAAUUUCCUUGAUUGUAAAUUAACCUUGACGACAAUAAAGAUGUGAAUUAAUGACUUGCAAGAAUCUGCAGCAAUUUCCUGAAUUGCAAAUUUACCUUGAUGACAGCAGAGAUAACAUGUCAUGUCAAACUAAAGCAGCGUACAACAGUAAGGAUUGAGAUCCUCUACCGUCAAAUUAGUAAAUGCAAAGUGCCGUUAAAGGUAGGAAAUGGGGUAUUUUGAAAUUGAAUGGAGGAGAUUAAAGGUCAAACGCUAAUUUUAAUGUGUCAAAAAAGUUUGUUGUGUUUUUUCACUUUAUUGUAUUAUCGUUCAUAUUUAUUAUGUUAGUAUCUACAUCAAUUAUGUCAUUAUUGUCCGCACUGUCUUCAAUACCAAUGACAGCAGAACCCCCUAAAAACAUGCUUGAAUAUCAGCCAAUAUUCAGGCCCCAUAUCAUAUGCAUGUGUAUCAGCUUGUAUAGCAUAAAAAUUUAAGAAGUCUUACAGUAACCAGCACAACAAUCAUAAAUUUAAAAAAAGCAAUGAAGAAAAAGAACAAAACCAACAAAAGGGCUCCCAUUGCAAUCGAAAACAUGACCGAAAAGGCUUAAAGAAGGAAUGAAUCAGGGAAAAGAAGAAUGAGUGAUAGUAUUAUUAGCUGACCAGAAUUGAACUUAGAGUAGUUAUCAGUUACUGGUCUGCGGCUGAUGAAGAGUAGACAAGAUUUUACGAGAGGGGCAGGGAAUCCCUUAUCAGCUAUGACACGGGUUGGAAAGAUAGGACUGAAUGGGAAGUUGCGGACAACAAAUCCAGUCACAUUUUAGUAUUGGAAUCCAAACACAUCCUGGAGGAAGUUUUUUAAUGCUAGCACGAAUGCUCCACUCAUGUUUUAUUGUAAACAAAUAGCAAAUUAAAAAAAAAAAAAAAAACAAAGCAAUAGUACUUUUACGAUUUUUCAAUGGCCAAGUAAACAAAGGUAUUAUGACAUUCAAUCAGCAUAAGCAGCAAUUUUGUCCAUUAUCUCUGCAACAAUCUCUUAGACUCCCUCAGCAACUUGAUGCUUGCAUUCAUCUGUAACGUUUACCAGCAAUAGAUGGAGAUUCCUCCAGCAUCCGUUCCAAUGCACCCCUGUGAGUUCCCAUUAACUCAUUCACCAUUUCGGUUUCCAUGUCUUUGUUCACCAGAUUUUGGAUGCUGAAAGAGUAAAUGCAAAGCCAUGCUAUCAACAACUCCUCAGGACAAUCUUCCAAUAAGCAGUCAUCCUCAUUUUCAGAUCAAAAGCUUGUUGUGCAACGACCAGAUGAUUUCUCAGAUGCCCGACUUCAACCUCACCAAUUCCAUCAAUCUCUAGAGUUGUUGAUUUCGUACAAUCAUUCAUAGAUCAUGAACCUGAACCUGUCCUGGCUUUCAUCAGAUCAUGCCAGGUUGCAGAGUACUCAGGAUUACAAGUAUAAUCAGGUGAGUUUUUCUCCAUUUCGAUAAUCUGCAAUACCCAAUCAACUGACUGCUCCUUUUUUGGAAACAAGACUUUGGGCAGCUCUUCUGAUUGAAGGUUGAAGUUGUGGGUAGUUGUCAGAGUGCUUCAUCAAGACAGAACUAACACCCCUUGUAAAUACUCCCAAAACUUGUUCACAAAUCCUGCUGGUGUAGCGGAAAUGGCCUGACCAUUUUUUGUAGUGAAGUGAGAAAAGCUGUGCGAUGAAGGAAAUUAGGUAAGCUUAUACCUUUAGCUUCCUCCAGGAUGCUAAUCUCUUCCUCCAAGAACUUCUGCUUUUGUUCAACUUUGAUAGAGAUGAACUGCAAAUCCCAUAGUAAUCGCUCAGCAUCUCUGCCAGUCUAGCAGUACAAUGCAUUUCUUUUUCAUCUGGAUACUCAUCGAAUUCCCCUCUGAUAAAUAUUUUUCUCAGUGACUCUUUGGCUGAAGAUAUGAUACGCAUAAAAGCAGUGACUGCUUCAGGAACUGAGUGCAACUGUUGUGGCAACUUGUUCAGCUCUGCAACACUUGCAGUUAGCUUGUCAUUGAUCUUUCUCACAAUAUCUGGCAAGCAUUUUGAAAUUAUAGUUGCCUGAAUUUGCACCAGUUUCUGGGCUAAAACAGGAAUGCCAACCAUAGACUUGUGGAUCUUGGACAGCAACGGAUGUGUUUCAAAAAGCGUAGCUUCUACAGCUCGAGCUUCCUCGUAUGAUUCAUCUCCAAUUCGAUUUCUCACACAGACGUAUCCAAGUUCAAUAUUCACAUCAUCAGCCGUUACCUUCUCGAGCAAGCCUUCAGGGGAUUUGUCUGCCUUGGUGACAACUGCCAGAGUUCUUUCACCCAUUUUGUCAACUUUUUGGGACAUCCGAAUUGAUUCACAAGUAGAAAAAUCAACAGUAGCUGAUAAAACAUUGAGUAUUAUGCUUUCUUCUGGUUUAAUAUACUCCAUAAUGAUUGCUGAUAUUUGCUCAUAGAUGUCUUCAGGCUGCCCGUGAACUGGAACUCUAGUAAUCCCAGGUAAAUCCACCAUAGUAAGAUCAGGGACCCCAUUCUUCUUAACAAUCAAAGUCAGGGGAACAUUUGAUAUUCCCUUGCUUCUGCCAGCAAUCUCAUCAGUUGCAACGCUGAUGGCCUGAGCAAUAUGGUCCUCAUCGGUUGGAACAACUCUUCCGUUAAACUCCAAGCUCACCUCUGGCUUGGGACUGGGAUGACUUUGCAGCCUCAUAAUCAAGGGAACCCUUGUGCAGAUCCCUUGCCCUCUAGGUAGGCUAAUGCCAGCCAGUGACUCUAGAACGCUAGACUUUCCUGAAGAUUGAUCUCAACAACAACAAUUGUUGGAAGCUGGAUUCCUUCUUGCAUGACUUUAAGGUUUCGUAGCCUGUCUAUGCAGUCCAGCAAUGGCCUAAUGCGUUCAUUGUAGGAUGAUACGAUGGGGCUAGCGUUUCUUCUUGAACAGCUUGAACGAGGUCUUUGAUCAUGGACAGCUCGAACGAGUUCUUUGGUGAUUUCUUCAGAAACAACAUUGGAGCCGCUGCUUAGUACACUCAUGUGUAAUUUCUCGUGGUUGUUGGUUUUGAGUGUUUCUAUUAUAUUGUCGCUGGUAAAAAGAUUCGGAACUUGGAAGGGAAAAAGGAGAUGAAAGAGCAAGAGAUUUUCAGAUUUGGUGAUAGGAAAUUUGGAUUUGUGGAUACUUUAUAGGUGAUUUUUUAUGUUGAUCUCAGUACCAUCUCUUUUCUUGGAUGAAAUACGGUGUUCCAAGAAUUGAGAUAGAAAUACGAAAUCUAUGAAAUUAGUUAAAUGAUCAACCAAGCAAAACAAUAGCAUCUUUUGAAGUAGUUAACUCCAAGGUAAAUCAGCACAGAUUCCUUAACUCGCUCUGCAGGGUGGAAAGCUGAUGCUUGACUUGCUUUUCUCUCAUCCUUUGCCAACUGGAAAGUAAAAGUUCAUCGAAAAUCAGCUAUAACCCUUCGAUUGAUCAGCAGACUAAUUAGCAGUGUAAGAUAGAAUUACUUUGUUAUAUCAUACCCAAAUUAAUCGUGACAAUCAAAAGACUUGGGAGGUCAUUAAAUUGUUCUUUUCCUUCAACUUUACGUCAUACUUGUGCUUCACCAUUUGCGUCAUGGGAUCCAAUAAUGAGUGUACUAUUGUUAAUUUAUUAUUCCUUCUGGUGGAAAUUGGAAACAAGCUAGUGGGAUCAAUUGACUUCUUUUCUUUGGCCAUGACAAAGGAAAAUGUUCGAUCUUACAAAGGUAGGCAAACAUGGAAAAAGCUUGCACCCCCGCUCUUUCGCCUCACAAUCCAAGUAGCUAUCACCAUUUAGGGGGAAUUAUUUGACAGUCUUUUGUGUUUGAAUUGAUUUUUCUGAAUUUUGUAAAAAAAUUAUUGUAACGAUUUGAUAAGUGUGAAAUAAAAAGGUGAUUCGGAAUUGUGUUUACGGAACCCCACAAUCCAAAGUAGCUAUCACGUUUAGGGUGAAUUAUUUGACAGUCAUUUUGUGUUUGGAUUGCAUUUUUCUGAAUUUUUUAUAGAAAAAUUAUUGUAACGAUUUGAUAUAUAUGAGAUAAAAGGUGAUUCGGAAUUGUGUUCACGGAAAACAUUCUAAUGCAAUCAUUCACGGAAUUGUGUUCACGCAAUUUUUCCAAACAUUCUAAUGCAAUUAAGAUUAAUGUGAAGAAUCCUAUUCCUAGGCUGUAAGAACUAAGAAGACCGAAAAACAUAAUGCAUAAAAUAGUCAAUUGUUUUCUAACGCAAUUAUAUUGUAUUCUUUACGUUAGCUGAAGAAUGAAGAGGUUUUUAACAUUAACAAUUGUGCUUAUUUCUUCUUUCUUCACGAGUCUUUUAACUUUCACUUAUGAUAAGUUAGAGGAAAAAUGGCCAAUUUUGUCCUUAAUUUUUUUAAGGGUGCUAAUUUAGUCCCUAACUUUUAUUUCUGAUCAAUAUGAUAUUUGAACUUAUGGUGCAUCACUAGUUAAAAACGAUCUUACUUCUCAUUGGCUAAUUAAAUAGUGGUAUUACGAGAACAUUACUCACGAGAAUGUAAUAAAACAAGCAAAUCGUCUAAAAAAUCACUAAUAAAACUUUUAAAUUGUGUAAAAAAAUCACCAAAUAAACUUUUUAAAGUUUAAUCUUGUGACUUUUUACUAUACAGUUUCGUAAGUGACGUUUUCAAAAUAUCUUCUUUAGUUGGUCAAUUAGGAGUCAGAUUGGUUUUAGGUGGCACCGCCACCAUGAAGGUCCUUAAUUGGAACUGCAAUUAAGUUCGCAUAUUAAAUUGAUUAGAAAUAAAAGUUAGAAACUAGACGGCACUAGUAAAAAGUUUAGAACGAAAUUGGUCAUUUUCCCUAAAAGAUAAGACUGGAACAUAUUUGUUGAAUCAGUCCAGCUAUGUGUAAGUUUCAAGUCUUCCCAAGUCUUCAAUAGUAAUGUGAUUACGACUAAAUAGCAUAGUACCUAUAUCUAGUGGUUUUCUUGAUUGAAUUAACUCAGAGAAAGAAAACUAUAAUAUUGUCUCAUUACAUUAACUACAUGGCUAGUCUAGCCAAGCAUGGCAAAUUACAGAUCUUCGGGCAAACUUUGGCAAUUUAAAAGGUCUUGUUUAUAUUGAAGAUUUUUUGUAGAAAAAUUUUUACGUUUUUCGUGAUUUCAUUUUUCGGAUACUUUUUUAUCUCGCAUACAUCAAAUUGUUAUAGUAUAUUUUUUGCUUAAAAUUCAAAAAAUGAUGAUCUAAACGAGACCUAAGUAUGUGUAUAGACUAAUUGGCUAACUUCUUCAAAAUUUUUGUGUACUUGAUUUGGCGGAUUUAUUAUUCUAUCAAAGAGAUUCGAUGAACACGAUUAUGAUGUGCAUGGACACGAAGCUCACGAUCAAGGCUAAAUAAUCAGUUAAUUGCAACGAAAAUGUAGAUGUCUCUACAAUAUAUAUACACUAUUUCUUUACAACAUUAAUAUUCCCUUGAGUCCUACCCUUGUGUAAUACUAGUAUUAGUUUUGUGAACCAAUGUAAAAAAAAAAAAAACAAUAUAGUCAAAUAUCCUCUAGUAUUAGUUUCGCUUGAACAAUAGUCGUUUCUCUUACCCAAACAAGAGGACUAUAUAAUCCUAAUAUUCUAACAAUGAGAAAUAAAUUACUCCCUCCGUCUCAAUUAUUUUGUCAUGUUUCGAGAAUCCAAUAUUCUAAAAAUAGUGAUUUAAUUAUGAUGCUUGUAUUUUUUUUCUCAAUUUUACUCCCACAAAUUCAAAAUAUGAAUUUGAAUAAUAAUAUGUAUAUGCUUAAAGGGAGGAACUAUAUUGGAAGUAGAGACUAAAUAAUGUUUUAACUUUCUGAACAUUACAAAUACUUUGAGACAUUCCAAAAUGAAAAAUAUGACAUUUCUACGAAACGGAUGGAGUAAUUCGUACCGAACAAAAAGUCUAGCCAAAAUAUCCAAUACAUGAUGUGAUAGCUCAAUCUUCCUUAGGGCGUACGCUAAGGUUAGCGGAUUGUCUGCUCAACUCUCGUCAGGAUUAACUAAUCCAAAAUUUUCAGUAGGUAUUAAAACAAACAACAUAAUUUCAAAACACCGCAACCUAAAGUUAUAUACAAUUCAAGCUUAAAAUACAAGUUAAAAUAUUUAAUUUUAUACAAAUACAUAUAAGGUUUAUUAAUACAGAAGAGUUUAAACAAAAUGUCUAAGGUUUAAACCUAGCUCAACUCUUUCCCAAAAUCACCAACCCAAAUCUUUGCCCCUGAAAGGAAAACAAGGAUAACGGAAUGAGCUUUCGCCAAUGUGAUACCACAGGUUACGCAAUCAAAAAUCACAUAAUUCGAACUUUAAACUAUCAAAUAUAAGCACCAAUUAGGGAGAUAAGUAAACACCACAACUAACACAAAGUGCUUCAAAUAAAAAGAUACAGUUGGCUCUCAGGAGCCAAAUUCUCAAUCGCAUUAGUUUGAUCCAAAUCCGUUGACACUCCGUCAACGUUUACAGAAACAGAAAUAUUGACCGUAGAUCCCUGCUUUACACCAGUUUCCGUCUACCAAUCAUACCGUUACCUGGUCCAAACACCAAACAGAAACAGUGGUGGUAAUAUUCGAGUAUAUCAAAUAUCAGAAGAAUUCAAACUCUGAUACCACCUAUGACGACCCCACCUUCCCCUAGGACGUGGCCUAGAGGUUAGCGAACCACCUGCCCAACUCUUGCCAAGACUCACUCACUAACAUUAAUUUCAGAGAUCACAUUAACUCCAAAGUAAGCACGAAACUCUCUAAGAAAUGUUACAAAUCAUCCAACUUCAUAAAACAUCCAUACUUAGGUGGACAACUAAACAGAUCAAAAUACAAGUAGUUCAAUCAAAUCACUAAAUAUAAAUAGGAUGGCAUUUACUUAAAAUGAGGACUACAACUUUUCAACUCACUAUUUUUUGGAUAUCAAAUCAAUAACACCAUAAUUUUUCAAUAUAGCAUCUAUAAGCUACAAAUCGUCCAAAUACACAAAUCAAAGUACAAACCAAAAGAUAAGAACUUGAACAUCUAGUAUCAUAGUACAAUGUCAGCCAAAUACAAGUUUAAAAUUUCUAUUACAACUAGUACUAUUCUUGUCUCUUUCAUCCCCACACCCUGCUAAGGAAAACAAAUAAAGGGAUAAGGUAAAAAUCUAGUGAGGUUUCAAGUAUCAUGCAAGCAAAGUACCAAUCUUAGAGCAAGUAAGAAAAUGGUAACUAAAUAAAACAAUAACAAGCAACUAGGAAACAAGUAGCACUUUCAAAUCGAAGGAUACAUUUCCCUCAUAUUGGCUGCUUAACUCGUAAUCGUUGACAUUCCGUAAACCUUGGAAUACACUGUCAAGUCUAGUAGAUCACCACUUCACACCAUCUCCAACCACCGAUCAUCCGCCUUACCGAGCCAGCACGCCAAUCAAGUACAAGUGGGAUAAUACUCGAAUAUACCAAGGCCAAUAACAAGAUAUAAGACCCAUGGUUUAUCGGUCACCUUGACCAAAUCCUUACUGGCUCGAUUUGACCAACUAACCAAUGGGGAUGGGAUCCCAAAACAAGUAUAGUCGGUGAAAUAAUAACUCCAACCGGCUUUCAAGUCAUGCACGGAUAUAUCGGUUCACAAGUAAACAAGUCAACAAAAAUUCAAACAAGUUAGUUGAGUGCGAUAAAGUACACAUUCGCCUUUUCAAUAUCAAAUCAAGAUAUCUAGUAACAAGUCACAUAGUUCAAGUCAUGCAGUUGAAACACUCACCAAAAUAAAUGGACAAUCACAUCUCGAUUUUAGGAUUUUCUUAACUCACUACUGACUCUUGAAACACAUCCAAGCUAUAAUUACACUUAUCAUCUUGAUCAAAACAAGUAAAAAACACAGAAGAUCCAAUUUUAAAGUUAUCAAACGUGUAGGUUAAAAGGUAUAGGAUUUUGCAACCAAAUGCAUGAAUAUAAGUGUGAGGAUCAAAAACAACCUAAGAGGGGGGUGAAUUAGGUAGGUUGAAAAUUGGCCAAAUUAUGAGUCACUUUUUGAGUACUUGCCCUCUUUUUCUAAAAGACCACACAAUGGAGCAAUGAAUGAGAAAGCACAAGUGCUUAUGAGUAGAAGAGAUGAGCAAUUUAUUUAUCAAGAUAGAAAGUAAAAGAGAUAGAGUAUCAAGCCAAAUACCAAACUCCUCUUGAGUUUGAAUGUCACUUUAAAGAGCAAGCUUCUUCAAGUUGAUCAACUUACAACCAAUCUUUUGUGUACAAAGGAAGGAUCACUUCCUCCUUGCCCCAAGCCACACUUGGUCAAGCAAGGAAGUUUUACUAUUACUCGGAUAACCCUCACAGAGCUACACUUUAAAUGUUGUUCAGAAGAUUAAUGGCAAAGAAGUGGAUCUGUCCUUAAUUGGUAACCACAUUCACUGUUGGACGAUUUUGGCUUCAUUAAAAUCACACAUGUGAAGAGACCAAAUAAUGUACCUGCCCAUAUUAUGUCAAAAUUGGCUUUGUUUCUUGAAGAAAGUAGUGUUUGGUUUGUAAACUUUCCCAAGAUAGUAACUGAAGCUGCUCUUGCAGAUUUGGUACAAAUGAAUAUGUUUCUGUUGCUUCAAAAAAAAAAGAGCAAAUUUAAGGGAAAAAAAAACAACAACAACGACAAAGCAAUGGUACUUUUAUGAUUUAUCAAACGGCAAAGAAAACAAAGGUAUUAUGACCAAUCUAAUCAGCAUAAGCAGCAAUAUUGUCCAUUAUCUCUGCAACAAUCUCUUUAGACUCCCUCAGCAACUUGAUGCUUCUAUUCAAUCUGUAACGUUUAUCAGCAAUAGAUGGAGAUUCCUCCAGCAUCCGCUCCAAUCCACCCCCGUGAUGUCCUAUUAACUCAUUCACCAUUUUGGUUUCCAUGUCUUUGUUCACCAGCUUUUGGAUGCUGAAGAGUAAAUGCAAAGCCAUGCUAUCAACCAAC
rnacentral:lncRNA from 1 species